rnacentral:lncRNA from 15 species
CUUAAAGCAGUUUUAAGAAUAAAUGAGUCCCUUUUUAUGAUUAAGAGUAAUUCAUAAAGAAAGUACAGUGAGAUAGGGAUUAAGUCACGCUGCUGCAAUUCCACUUUUCAAACACCCUGUAACCUUCUCUCUUUUUGUCCUUCUUGCAUCAGCACUAUUUGUUGAAGAUCUUAACGAAAGACAAAGAAGCAAAUGUAUAUUUUAUGAAUGUGUGCCUCUGGUUUAUCUUCCUUUGUGGGGCUUGUGUAUACAAUCGAAACCAGCUCUCGAAGAGAAAAGUGCUUUUUCUUCUCCUGUCCCCCGAUGUCAACGACAAGGAUUUCUUUGCUGAUCCCAUAAGACUCCUCUGGCCGGCGUCCCAUCCGAAGUCGUUUCUUGAAUGAGAGACGGCUUGAUGGUGCUCAGAUGGAGAGAGUAUUGUCAGAGGAGCUGCAUGUGACUAAUCAGGACUGGGCUCGCCUCCCUGCCUCCCAAACCAUAUUCUGCUGAUUCAAAAGGCCACUGAGACUCCAUGGUAAUGGAAAAGCAUGAUGGGGCCAUCAGAGAAAGUCAAGAAAUAUUGUGGCUGAUAUUGCUUUGGUUGAUGUCCAACACAAUAUGCGGUAAUAUAUCAGCCGAGCUGUUGAAAGCCAUUAUGGGAUUCAUUAUGUGAUGUAGAUAAACAAUUGAUUGAUCCACCCUGGUGUCAAUAAUCAGCAACAAA